GUGUGUGUGUGUUGUGAGUGUGUGUGUGUGUGUGCUUAAGGAUUUUUCUGAAUUUAGCUCUAGGCUGUGGUAUCUGUUGGUCAAGGGAAUAUCAGUUUCUUCAUCUAUAACUCAAAACAGGAUCCAUGUCAUAAUGCUGGACAGUGAAGUAAUGCAUGUAGUGCCCACUGCUGUGGUCAAGUUUGUUUGUUUGUUUUUAGACAGAGUCUCACGUAGCCCAGGCUGGCCUCAAAUCAUUAGGAAGCCAAGGAGGAUCUGGAACUUCUAAUCCUUCUGCCUCUGCCUCCCAAAUUCAGGGAUUAAGCCUGGCUAGGGCUUGUUGCAAUUGUGUUCACGAAUUUUGUUUGUGGAGUGGUUUAGCUGGAUUAUUCUGAUGAAGUCUCUUUCUCUCACAGAUAGAUUUGGAUGCCAUUCCUCAGAGGCUGCAGGCAUGGGCAUGUACACAGUUAUUUUGGAAUGGCAAUGGUCUUUUUGUUGUUGCUGUUUUGAGACAGAAACUAGCUCUAUUUAGCAUGUAGCCCAAAUUGAUUUUUAUCUCUUGAUCCUCCUGCUUCAGCCUCCCUGGGUGCUCAGGCCUACGGCCCUGCACCACCGUGCCUGGUGCCAGCCUCACACAGAUCCUAAAACAUUCCCUUUGCUUUUCUACCUGAUCUACUUUUUUAAAAUUUAUUUUAUGCGCAUUGGUGUUUUGCCAUGGGUAUCAGGACCUCUGGAACUGGAAUUAUACACAGUUGCAAGCUGCUAUGUGGGUGCUGGGAACUGAAGAGCAGCCAGUGCUCUUAACCACUGAACCAUCUCUCCAGUUCCUCUAUCUGAUCUUUGUAUUAAUCUGUUGGCCAGUGAAAUUCUAUGGGCUGUUUACCUUCACUGUGGCUGACUAUUGGUUUUGACCCUACCCUGACGUAGAAAUUGCUUCAGUCUUGCCAGCUCAACUUUGGUCCCUUUUGCAGAAACAAUCAGGUUAAUUUUGAGGCUCAGCCCAACUCCAGAAGCGGGGAGGAGGGGGCGUUGACCAAUGCAUUCCAUGAUCCUCUCUGAUGCACUUGUUAACUGGUCUGCAAUUAGAGUCUGUGUGUGUGGUACUAGGGACCGAACCCAGGGUCUCACACACACUAGGCAAGUGCUGUACCUCUAAGCUCUAUCCCCACUCCCUACUCUAGAUUGUUCUAAUGGAGGAAUGCCUAGCUACUCUUAAUUGCUUCCUAAGACAAGCUUUAUCAUUUCUGGGAGCAUCCCCAAUUAAUGUCCCCAAAUUGUCUGUCUUGGUGGAAGCUCCAGGCAGUUUUAUGGCUUGCUCCUCCUCAACAAGGCUGCUCUAGAGCCGGGGGAACUUGGGCAGGGACAGUGGCACUCCCCCUGUCUCAGCGACAGUCCUGCUUAGUGGACAGGGUGUCGGACAGGGUAAGUAGCCUUUGGUUUUCUUGGCUUGCCCCUUUCAAAACAGAGUCUCUGCCCACGUGAGCAAGCUGGGGCCUGGGUGAUUAAAGCAGCUCGUCCUUAUCCAUCCGUAGCUGAACUAGAACUUCCCACCUGUGCAUGGAGGUGGGGGUAGGAAGUGAACCUCAGACCACUCAGCCCACGUUGUCUGCAUCGGAGCCUUUGAGACGCAGAGCUGGAAGACAGCCCGCCUCUGCAGGGUCAUACAGAUGCCACCGCCGGCCGUGAGCUGGAGAAAAAUGUCACUUGUGUUCUUGUUCUCGCCGCCCCCCUCCCAGAAUUGGGGUUGGAAGGAGGAAGUGGUUUGUGGCUCAGUGGCACCCACUCGCAUGGUUCUUCCUGGGACUUAGCAGAUUUUCUGGCAUUUGAGUUUAUACUUUUUUUUUUUUUUAAUGUUUUCUAGGACAAUUUGCAGGCGCUUUAGGUGGUUGUGGUUUUGAGUUUUACACAGUCCCCACCGGCUGUGGGUGUUUCCCUGGGGACAGAGUUCGUGGAGCGUUUAAGAGUCACCAUUCCGGAAGCCAUACAUCCGCGUGCCCAGUCUGGAAGCACUGCCUGUGUUUUAGCCGAGUCACCCCAGAGGCACUCUCCAGUCAGAGCAACCGCGCCUCCACCCUUUGUACCUGUAGCGAGACUCUGGAUUUGGAGUCUGCUUCCCUGACUGGGUGGGAAUGUCAGAUCUCUCCUGUGAGAAAAAUGAGCUGUUUGGCAAGAGAGAAGAAAACAUGUGUGACCAAAGAGGAAUGUUGAGGGGACACUGGAUCUCCUGGAACUGGAGUUACUGGAAGCUGUGAACUCCUUGAUGCAGAUGUUGGAAACCGAACCGGGGUCUUCUACAAGAGCAGCAAGUGUCUCUUCACCACUGGGCUAUCUCCCCAGGGGAGGGAUGGACACAAGUCUGUCCACAUGUCCUAGACUCUCGCCCACUCCCCUAGGCCCUGAACCUGGCGUCCUGCAUGACCUCCUUGAGGCACCACCGUGUGCUGCCCUGGGAUCUCCCAGGCACAGUCAUAACAAUUCUGUGCGCUUGCACUUAGGUUUGUGGGAAACUUUUCCUUGGGUCCUAGUUACCAGCUGGCUUGAAGAAACCCAAACCCGCCAACGUGGAGGGGCCACACGCAGAAGCCACGGGUAGGCGUUUGGGCUGGCAGCCCAGCUGAGGCUUCAGUGAAACCACCAGACACGUAGGUGAAGAUGCCUGCAGAUGGCUGUAGCCCCCGCUGCUGAGUCAGCCUUGGCUUGGGGCAGAAAUCAGCCACCCCUUCUAGCUCCUAUCUGACUUCCUGACCUGGGCCCUUUAGCUCAUCAAACAGUUUUCGUGGGCUUGAAGUUGGAGGCAGUCAGUUAUCAAGAGAGUUGAAGCUGCACACGUACGGAGACACGCACAGACGAGUCUGUUUUCCAGUAAACCAUGGUCAGUGUAGAACACAGUAAAUCAAAAGUGCAUGUAGGGAAGUCCCGUAUGAAGCUGGACUACCAGGUUUGACUCUCCCGCAGUGUCCUGGUACGUGAUCCUGGCUCUUGGGAGGUGGAGGCCAGAGGACCAUAAGCUCCAGGACAGACUGGGAUAUUUGAUGAGCCCCUGUCUAAGAAAGAAAACAGUGACCACCUUAAGAACUACUUGUGUACACACAGACGCACACAUGUGUGUAGCAUGAGGGCCUGCUUGUUGGGGUUUCUGUCCUGCCUAGUUCCUGCAGCUGGUAAGCCCCAACGAAAAUCACACAG